GUGAUCACUUAGAAAGCACAUAUUCUAACAUUGUAAUGAUACAGAGAACAUUAACAUGGCUCCUAGGCAAGGAUGACCUUCAAAUUAUUCAAGUGUUGUAUUUUUAA
ensembl:snRNA U6 U6 spliceosomal RNA